rnacentral:tRNA from 1 species
AGGAGUGUGGUUUGGAGGUCAAGAGCAUUGGCUUUGGAGUCAGACUUCCUGAGUUCAAAUCUCAGCCCUACUG